rnacentral:rRNA from 1 species
UCAACGCUGGCGGCGUGCCUAACACAUGCAAGUCGAACGCGGAAGGGGCUUCGGCCCUGAGUAGAGUGGCGAACGGGUGAGUAACACGUGGGUGACCUACCUUCGAGUGGGGGAUAACGUUCCGAAAGGAGCGCUAAUACCGCAUGACGUUCCGGAUUUGAACAUCUGGAAACCAAAGCCGGGGGCCGCAAGGCCUGGCGCUAGGAGAGGGGCCCGCGCCUGAUUAGCUAGUUGGCGGGGUAAUGGCCCACCAAGGCGACGAUCAGUAGCCGGCCUGAGAGGGCGGACGGCCACACUGGGACUGAGACACGGCCCAGACUCCUACGGGAGGCAGCAGUGGGGAAUUGUUCGCAAUGGGCGCAAGCCUGACGACGCAACGCCGCGUGGGGGAUGAAGGUCUUCGGAUUGUAAACCCCUGUCGAGCGGGACGAAUGGCCCGCGAUUGAAUAGAUCGCGGGAAUGACGGUACCGCUAAAGGAAGCCACGGCUAACUCUGUGCCAGCAGCCGCGGUAAUACAGAGGUGGCAAGCGUUGUUCGGAAUUACUGGGCGUAAAGGGCGCGUAGGCGGCCUUCUAAGUCAGACGUGAAAUCCCCCCGGCUCAACCUGGGAACUGCGUCUGAUACUGGAGGGCUUGAAUGCGGGAGAGGGAUGCAGAAUUCCAGGUGUAGCGGUGAAAUGCGUAGAUAUCUGGAGGAA